UACGUAGGUGGCAAGCGUUAUCCGGAUUUACUGGGUGUAAAGGGCGUGUAGGCGGGACUGCAAGUCAGAUGUGAAAACCACGGGCUCAACCUGUGGCCUGCAUUUGAAACUGUAGUUCUUGAGCACUGGAGAGGCAGACGGAAUCCCUAGUGUAGCGGUGAAAUGCGUAGAUAUUAGGAGGAACACCAGUGGCGAAGGCGGUCUGCUGGACAGCAACUGACGCUGAGGCGCGAAAGCGUGGGGAGCAAACAGG
rnacentral:rRNA from 1 species